rnacentral:rRNA from 1 species
UGGGGAAUAUUGCACAAUGGGGGAAACCCUGAUGCAGCGACGCCGCGUGAGCGAAGAAGGUUUUCGAAUCGUAAAGCUCUUUCCUAUGGGAAGAUAAUGACGGUACCAUAGGAGGAAGCCCCGGCUAACUACGUGCCAGCAGCCGCGGUAAUACGUAGGGGGCAAGCGUUGUCCGGAAUCACUGGGCGUAAAGGGUUCGCAGGCGGAAAUGCAAGUCAGUUGUGAAAGGCAGAGGCUCAACCUCUGUAAGCAAUUGAAACUGUAUUUCUUGAGAGGUGGAGAGGCAAGUGGAAUUCCUAGUGUAGCGGUGAAAUGCGUAGAUAGUAGGAAGAAUACCGGUGGCGAAGGCGACUUGCUGGACACAAACUGACGCUGAGGAACGAAAGCGUGGGUAGCAAACAGG